AACCGACUGCCAAUCGCUGGACUUACGUCAGACUCCAAGCAGACAAACACCAAUAGGAUACGGAAUGCCAAUAGCUGGUCUUACAUCCAUCUCCUAACACACAAGAGGGUUAACACACCAACAAGUUACUAAGGAGUCUGGCACUCGAGCCUAGUAACUGUCAAGCAAACACACACAAAAAGAAAAAGGGUGCCCAGAGAGAUC
rnacentral:lncRNA from 1 species